UGGGGAAUAUUGCACAAUGGGCGAAAGCCUGACGCAGCAACGCCGCGUGAGUGAUGAAGGCCUUCGGGUUGUAAAGCUCUGUCUUCUGGGACGAUAAUGACGGUACCAGAGGAGGAAGCCACGGCUAACUACGUGCCAGCAGCCGCGGUAAUACGUAGGUGGCAAGCGUUGUCCGGAUUUACUGGGCGUAAAGGAUGCGUAGGCGGAUACUUAAGUCAGAUGUGAAAAUCCCGGGCUUAACUUGGGAACUGCAUUUGAAACUGGGUAUCUAGAGUGCGGGAGAGGAAAGUGGAAUUCCUAGUGUAGCGGUGAAAUGCGUAGAGAUUAGGAAGAACACCAGUGGCGAAGGCGACUUUCUGGACCGUAACUGACGCUGAGGCAUGAAAGCGUGGGGAGCAAACA
rnacentral:rRNA from 1 species